rnacentral:rRNA from 1 species
UACAGAGGUCUCAAGCGUUGUUCGGAUUCAUUGGGCGUAAAGGGCGCGUAGGCGGUCCGCUAAGUUGAAUGUGAAAACUCUGGGCUUAACCCAGAGCCUGCAUUCAAUACUGGCAGGCUAGAGUUCUGGAGGGGAUAGCGGAAUUCCUGGUGUAGCGGUGAAAUGCGUAGAUAUCAGGAGGAACACCGGUGGCGAAGGCGGCUAUCUGGACAGAGUCUGACGCUGAGGCGCGAAAGCUAGGGGAGCAAACAGG